UAAGCGACUAAGCGUACACGGUGGAUGCCUAGGCAGUCAGAGGCGAUGAAGGGCGUGCUAAUCUGCGAAAAGCGUCGGUAAGCUGAUAUGAAGCGUUAUAACCGACGAUACCCGAAUGGGGAAACCCAGUGCAAUACGUUGCACUAUCGUUAGAUGAAUACAUAGUCUAACGAGGCGAACCGGGGGAACUGAAACAUCUAAGUACCCCGAGGAAAAGAAAUCAACCGAGAUUCCCCCAGUAGCGGCGAGCGAACGGGGAGGAGCCCAGAGUCUGAAUCAGUUUGUGUGUUAGUGGAAGCGUCUGGAAAGUCGCACGGUACAGGGUGAUAGUCCCGUACACCAAAAUGCACAGGCUGUGAACUCGAUGAGUAGGGCGGGACACGUGACAUCCUGUCUGAAUAUGGGGGGACCAUCCUCCAAGGCUAAAUACUCCUGACUGACCGAUAGUGAACCAGUACCGUGAGGGAAAGGCGAAAAGAACCCCGGCGAGGGGAGUGAAAUAGAACCUGAAACCGUGUACGUACAAGCAGUGGGAGCACCUUCGUGGUGUGACUGCGUACCUUUUGUAUAAUGGGUCAGCGACUUAUAUUUUGUAGCAAGGUUAACCGAAUAGGGGAGCCGUAGGGAAACCGAGUCUUAACUGGGCGUCUAGUUGCAAGGUAUAGCCCCGAAACCCGGUGAUCUAGCCAUGGGCAGGUUGAAGGUUGGGUAACACUAACUGGAGGACCGAACCGACUAAUGUUGAAAAAUUAGCGGAUGACUUGUGGCUGGGGGUGAAAGGCCAAUCAAACCGGGAGAUAGCUGGUUCUCCCCGAAAGCUAUUUAGGUAGCGCCUCGUGAACUCAUCUUCGGGGGUAGAGCACUGUUUCGGCUAGGGGGCCAUCCCGGCUUACCAAACCGAUGCAAACUCCGAAUACCGAAGAAUGUUAUCACGGGAGACACACGGCGGGUGCUAACGUCCGUCGUGAAGAGGGAAACAACCCAGACCGCCAGCUAAGGUCCCAAAGUCAUGGUUAAGUGGGAAACGAUGUGGGAAGGCACAGACAGCCAGGAUGUUGGCUUAGAAGCAGCCAUCAUUUAAAGAAAGCGUAAUAGCUCACUGGUCGAGUCGGCCUGCGCGGAAGAUGUAACGGGGCUAAACCAUGCACCGAAGCUGCGGCAGCGACACUUAGGUGUUGUUGGGUAGGGGAGCGUUCUGUAAGCCGUUGAAGGUGACCUGUGAGGGUUGCUGGAGGUAUCAGAAGUGCGAAUGCUGACAUAAGUAACGAUAAUGCGGGUGAAAACCCCGCACGCCGGAAGACCAAGGGUUCCUGUCCAACGUUAAUCGGGGCAGGGUGAGUCGACCCCUAAGGCGAGGCUGAAAAGCGUAGUCGAUGGGAAACAGGUUAAUAUUCCUGUACUUGGUGUUACUGCGAAGGGGGGACGGAGAAGGCUAGGCUGGCCGGGCGACGGUUGUCCCGGUUUAAGCGUGUAGGGGGAGUGACCAGGUAAAUCCGGUUGCUUAUCAACCCUGAGGCGUGAUGACGAUGCACCACGGUGCAGAAGCAGUUGAUGCCAUGCUUCCAGGAAAAGCCUCUAAGCAUCAGGUAACAUUAAAUCGUACCCCAAACCGACACAGGUGGUCAGGUAGAGAAUACUCAGGCGCUUGAGAGAACUCGGGUGAAGGAACUAGGCAAAAUGGUGCCGUAACUUCGGGAGAAGGCACGCUGGCGUUAGGUGAAAGGACUAGCUCCUGGAGCUGAAGCCAGUCGCAGAUACCAGCUGGCUGCAACUGUUUAAUAAAAACACAGCACUGUGCAAACACGAAAGUGGACGUAUACGGUGUGACGCCUGCCCGGUGCUGGAAGGUUAAUUGAUGGGGUCAGCCGCAAGGCGAAGCUCUUGAUCGAAGCCCCAGUAAACGGCGGCCGUAACUAUAACGGUCCUAAGGUAGCGAAAUUCCUUGUCGGGUAAGUUCCGACCUGCACGAAUGGCGUAAUGAUGGCCAGGCUGUCUCCACCCGAGACUCAGUGAAAUUGAACUCGCUGUGAAGAUGCAGUGUACCCGCGGCAAGACGGAAAGACCCCGUGAACCUUUACUAUAGCUUGACACUGAACAUUGAGCCUUGAUGUGUAGGAUAGGUGGGAGGCCUUGAAGUGUGGACGCCAGUCUGCAUGGAGCCAACCUUGAAAUACCACCCUUUAAUGUUUGAUGUUCUAACUCGGCCCCAUGAUCUGGGGUGAGGACAGUGUCUGGUGGGUAGUUUGACUGGGGCGGUCUCCUCCCAAAGAGUAACGGAGGAGCACGAAGGUUAGCUAAUCACGGUCGGACAUCGUGAGGUUAGUGCAAAGGCAUAAGCUAGCUUGACUGCGAGAGUGACGGCUCGAGCAGGUACGAAAGUAGGUCUUAGUGAUCCGGUGGUUCUGAAUGGAAGGGCCAUCGCUCAACGGAUAAAAGGUACUCCGGGGAUAACAGGCUGAUACCGCCCAAGAGUUCAUAUCGACGGCGGUGUUUGGCACCUCGAUGUCGGCUCAUCACAUCCUGGGGCUGAAGUAGGUCCCAAGGGUAUGGCUGUUCGCCAUUUAAAGUGGUACGCGAGCUGGGUUUAGAACGUCGUGAGACAGUUCGGUCCCUAUCUGCCGUGGGCGUUGGAAGAUUGAGAGGGGCUGCUCCUAGUACGAGAGGACCGGAGUGGACGAAUCACUGGUGUUCGGGUUGUCAUGCCAAUGGCAUUGCCCGGUAGCUAAAUUCGGAAGAGAUAACCGCUGAAAGCAUCUAAGCGGGAAACUUGCCUCGAGAUGAGUCUUCCCUGGGGCUUAAAGCCCCCUGAAGGAACGUUAAAGACUAUGACGUUGAUAGGCUGGGUGUGUAAGUGCAGCGAUGUAUUGAGCUAACCAGUACUAAUGAUCCGUGAGGCUUAACCU
rnacentral:rRNA from 1 species